rnacentral:rRNA from 1 species
AUACAUGCAGUCGAGCGAAUGAAGAGGAGCUUGCUCCUCUGAUUUAGCGGCGGACGGGUGAGUAACACGUGGGUAAUCUGCCUGUAAGACGGGGAUAACUCCGGGAAACCGGGGCUAAUACCGGAUAAUAAGAAGAAACGCAUGUUUCUUUUUUGAAAGUCGGUUUCGGCUGACACUUACAGAUGAGCCCGCGGCGCAUUAGCUAGUUGGUGAGGUAACGGCUCACCAAGGCGACGAUGCGUAGCCGACCUGAGAGGGUGAUCGGCCACACUGGGACUGAGACACGGCCCAGACUCCUACGGGAGGCAGCAGUAGGGAAUCUUCGGCAAUGGGCGAAAGCCUGACCGAGCAACGCCGCGUGAGCGAUGAAGGCCUUCGGGUCGUAAAGCUCUGUUGUUAGAGAAGAACAAGUACGAGAGUAACUGCUCGUACCUUGACGGUACCUAACCAGAAAGCCACGGCUAACUACGUGCCAGCAGCCGCGGUAAUACGUAGGUGGCAAGCGUUAUCCGGAAUUAUUGGGCGUAAAGCGCGCGCAGGCGGUCUCUUAAGUCUGAUGUGAAAGCCCACGGCUCAACCGUGGAGGGUCAUUGGAAACUGGGAGACUUGAGUGCAGGAGAGAAAAGUGGAAUUCCACGUGUAGCGGUGAAAUGCGUAGAGAUGUGGA